rnacentral:rRNA from 1 species
UAUAAGAGGUCCGCCUGCCCUGUGACUUAAAGUUUAACGGCCGCGGUAUUUUGACCGUGCAAAGGUAGCGCAAUCACUUGUCUUUUAAAUGAAGACCUGUAUGAAUGGCAUCACGAGGGCUUAGCUGUCUCCUUUUUCAAGUCAAUGAAAUUGAUCUCCCCGUGCAGAAGCGGGGAUAAUAAUAUAAGACGAGAAGACCCUAUGGAGCUUUAGACCUAAUGCAGUCCACGAAUAAUACUUUUGAUGAAGAAAGAAAAGCUCAAUGGCUCCUGCACGCCUGUCUUUGGUUGGGGCGACCGCGGGGAAAAAUAAAACCCCCAUGAGGAUUGAGAGUUCUACUCCUAAAACCAAGAGCCACAGCUCUAAGUAACAGAAAUUCUGACCUAAAUGAUCCGGGAAACCGAUCAACGAACCGAGUUACCCUAGGGAUAACAGCGCAAUCCCCUUCCAGAGCCCAUAUCGACAAGGGGGUUUACGACCUCGAUGUUGGAUCAGGACAUCCUAAUGGUGCAGCCGCUAUUAAGGGUUCGUUUGUUC